CCAUUCCAGUACUGUGAGGAUGGCCUUAACCUAAGAAGGGCCUUAGCUUAAGAAACUCCAUUUUAAAAUAAAACUGCAGUCCCUACCAGGCAAGCCUACAGAGCCCUCCAAUGUUGUCAUCAGGCAUAGACUGAUAAAAUAAGUCCCUUUCCACAACCCUGAUAAAACUCAGAGUGAAGUCACUGUCAUUUGCCUUCACCCUGAUAAAGUCAGAGAUGAGAGAUCAGGGCAGAAACCACCAGACCAGAAGUCCUGACCCUAGAAUGAAAGACGUCACUGAGAAACCCAGUAAUGGCUGACAGGGAUUGAAAGGGCGAGUAGAAACCCCAAAAUGUAGCAUAAAUGAUGGAGCAAAUGAACUGACACUCAGCCAGC
rnacentral:lncRNA from 1 species